rnacentral:piRNA from 1 species
UACAGAAGGUUGUGAGUCAAACUCUGGUC